GGGGGCACCGCCAGCGGCCGGGCGGGGCGGGGGAGCACGGGCCCUCCCACACAGAAAAAUGAAGGCAAGGAUGACUUUCACAGGAUUCAACCUGUCAUAUAUGAAAUGGAGUGUUGGCCUUUGCAUAUUAAGUGUUUCAACUUUUAAUUGUUAAUUGUUUAAUUAUUGCUUAUUCAAAUUACCCAUCACCCCAGUUGAGAGUUAUUAAGUUUCAAAGUUAUUCCCCAGAUUAAUUGAUUAAAGAGUGUUUUACAUAAUUCCUCAUUUAAAAUCCCUUGUUAAUAAAGUUCCACAAGUUUGUUCCCCUCUUUAGUCCCUAAAAAGUGUAAAAACCCACAAUGUCUUAAUUCCUGUAUGUGUCCAAGUUAAUUACCCUGUUUUUAAGAGUUCUCUGAAAUACUUAUAGCCCAGUUUUAGACCUUUUACCAAGUGUUCUUAACCUUUGUAAGUUUUGAGUGAGUUUUGAGCUUUGCCAAAAAGCAGACCACCUAACUGACAGGGAGCUAUCUUUAGAACCGGGCCCUUGGCCUGCAACUCAGCACCACGGCAACCUGGGAUGUUAAUGAGGACUUUUCCCGCCCUUGGAGCCGAUGACAUUUUUCCCCGAGACAGCAGCGAGCCAUUGGCAGCCUGAGAUUGCCUCACCUCAAGACACCACCAAUCGUCCAGGACCAUGGGGGCUGGGCAGUGGGCGGUCAUGGGCGGGACCCAGACUCUAUAAAACUGCUGGACACCCGCUCAGAGGUGCCAUUUUCACCUCACAUUAAGUACUGGGGAGGCUCGGUGCUGGGAGCACAGGCCUCUACCUCUUUCAAAAGGCAAUUUAACCAUUCGGACUUUGGGCUAGCUGAAGUCACCCCAGCAUUGUAAGGUCUCUGCCUUGGGACUUCUGAGCCGCUUCGGCCAGCAAGGUCUCUAAUCACUGCAGACCCGGGGUUUUUUUUGGCUUUAUAAUUCUUUUGUACUUGCAAUUUUUUUUUGCUGAUUGUUCUUAAUUAUUUUAAUUAAGAACCAAGAGUUGUCUCAUUCCUCACAAACCAAAAGUUCUAAAUAACUUAAUAUUAAUUUUUGAGAUUCAGUUAGCGUAAUAAAGCUACAACUUCUGACUUUUUCAUCAUCUAAUCACAAACCCAAAGAUUUUACAUAUGAAAUUAUGUAAGUUUUUCAUAGCUAAAGUUUAAGAGGUGUAUUUUUAUAUCGAGUAUAAGUUACAGAGCUAUCAUGUCAACACAAACCAAAUGGAGAUUUUCAUCUUAAACAUUAGGGAUAAAAAAUGGAGUUCAAAGUAAGUUGUUUAUCUAUGACCAAGUUCACCUAUGACCAAGUUCACCUGUCUAGAUAUCUCCCACAGACAGCAAUGAUUUUAUAGACAACAUGAAGGAUAUCUAGGAAUAAAUAAUAUUUUAAAUUUGGAAAACCAGUAAUGUAAUAACUUUCUAUAAUUACUUUUAACAAUAACAUACAACAGUAAUACUAGUAAUUUUCUGAAGCAACUAGUUGUAUUGAAACACUGUCAAGAGAGGAGACAUUUUAAAACAUUAGCUGGGGAAAAAAACCAGUUCUGAAUUAUCAGGGACACAGAACUGCCAGAUUGUUUUCUUGUUUAGAUUUUUUUUGUUUGUUUUUAUUUCUUCAGAAAUCUAUGUAAGAUAGAACCUGCUGUCUCAUUAAAAGCUUUGAAAUAUUUAUCAGCUAACAAAUAUUUAACCCCUCUAUUUAUCAUAUCUAAUGGAAACUCAUAUUGCAAAUGGUAACUUUUUCACCAUUAUUUGAAUUUCCCUGGUACUUUUAAUUAGCUUUCUUAUAGGCUUUUCACCUUUCUAAAGCCAUCACCUCAAAAGGUACAAAAAUAUAUUAUCAAAAAAAAGGGUAAGUUGAGUUGUAACUUUUGUAUAGUCAAAGUAUUCUUUCUCAUAUUCUUCUUUCAUUCCAUAUAAAUAUUUAAUCAGUGUAUAUUUAUGUCGCAACAGAAAGCAAUAAAGAAAACAAGAAAAAAGCUGCUGCCAGGAAACAUGCUUAUUUUUUCCGUAUAUCACAAAUUAAAACAGACUAUAAGAGCGUGAAGCAUUCAAAAAGAAAUGUGCAAAACAAGUCUGUGAAAAAAUGUGUGUCCGCUCAUAAAGGUAAGGCUACACUGGAUCUGUCUGUCCCCAAAUGACCUUAUUUUUCCUCAAGGUCCCCAGCUUUUCGAAGUCCACACUGAUGUUUACAGGGGUUGUCUAGGCAACCAGAUAAAACAGAGAUUUAAAGGGUCCUGCCCUGUCUGUGCUGUGGACUCCAAACUCACCUCAAGGAAAGGAGUCCUACCUGUGGAGAAAUACAGCCUGGGGCAGGAGAAUCCUCCAAAUUUUAGCAAAUCCUUUGCUACAACUGUUUGUUAUAGCAAAGAAACAAAAGACUACUACAAUUAUGCUUUACAUAGACAUGGUGAGUUUUGAUUCAGACUAUGGAUUGUAAUUUUUUUGACUGUAAAUUUACAUUUCCUUAUGAUCUCAUGGGAUUUUUAUGUCCAAGAAGUGACAGUGACGACAUUAUUGAGUGACUAUGAUGAAUUAUUUCAAUUAUUGUAGAAAACAGAGACCCCAUUCAAAAUUAGGUCUCCAUUGUGAUGCAGCUGUACAAACAUAUAUUAAAAGCCUGUGUCUGGACCAGAAGUCUGCAAAUUACUCCACUCAGAGUCAUCAGGAAAAAUACAGCAGCACACAUGGAGCACACACAGGGAGGGAUGAACCUGGACAGUGUGUGUAUUGCCAAGAUUUUAACAAACUCAAAGUUUCUCCUAAUCAUAAGCAACACUUUUUCUCUCCAAAUGAGAUAGGUUAGCAUCUCCUCCUAUUUUCUUUCUUAAAAGGCCAUAGCGCAUAUUUUCCUGUUGCAUGAGGCAAGUUCUACAAUUCUUCCACAAUUAUUUUAUCUUUUCUCCUUUCUUCUCACAUGUGUGUGCUCCAAUUCUCCUUUUCUUCUCUCUACCAUUUUCAAAUGUUCUCUUCUGUCCUGCAGUAUUUCAUUCCUUCACCAUGCUCUCCAUGGCAGGGUGAAGCUUCCCCUCGCCAAGGGAUCCUGCUGCUCUGCUUGUACUUCCUCCAGCCUUUCUCCUCCCUCCUUCUUUGAAAUCCCAGCUGCCAUGGAAAUCCUUCUCUCCAACACUACUGAACUUUCAGAAGCCUUUUACUUCUAACUGUCUAACUGUAAAGCUUGUGGAUGAAAAAGCACUCUAUAAAUGAGAUUUAGCUUUCUGGCUUGUAAGUGUGAAGAAAAGGCACUGCAGACAUAUGAUUGAAGAACAUCUACUGAAACCCUCUGAGCCUGGAAUGACUCCUCAUUCAUGGCACUAGCAAAAAAAAAAAAAAAAAAAGAAAAAAAAAUACCCUGAGAAGAAAUUGAAGCAUUUAAAGACUCAUACUCUGGAAAUACCAGAAACUACUGGAAAAGAAGGCAAGAACACUUCAGUGUACAUCUGGAAGCAGUAAGUGUUAUUUAAAAGCAAGUCUAUCAGAAGGAGGUUUUCCUUCUGAAAAUAGCAAGUGCUGAUGCACUUGGCAUAUUUAACACUUCUCGGCAAUCCAAGAAAAGGAGGAUAUUCAUAGAGCUGUUACAAAAAAAAUGAGGCAUAUUGCAUUCUAAAUAAAAAUGAAGCAUAUUGACAUUA